UGGGGAAUAUUGGGCAAUGGGGGAAACCCUGACCCAGCAACGCCGCGUGAAGGAAGAAGGCCCUCGGGUUGUAAACUUCUUUUACCAGGGACGAAGGACGUGACGGUACCUGGAGAAAAAGCAACGGCUAACUACGUGCCAGCAGCCGCGGUAAUACGUAGGUGGCAAGCGUUGUCCGGAAUUAUUGGGCGUAAAGCGCGCGCAGGCGGCUUCUUAAGUCCAUCUUAAAAGUGCGGGGCUUAACCCCGUGAUGGGAUGGAAACUGAGAGGCUGGAGUAUCGGAGAGGAAAGUGGAAUUCCUAGUGUAGCGGUGAAAUGCGUAGAGAUUAGGAAGAACACCGGUGGCGAAGGCGACUUUCUGGACGACAACUGACGCUGAGGCGCGAAAGCGUGGGGAGCAAACAGGAUUAGAUACCCUGGUAGU
rnacentral:rRNA from 1 species